UACAGAGGUGGCAAGCGUUGUUCGGAAUUACUGGGCGGAAAGGGCGCGUAGGCGGCCUUGUAAGGCCUGUGUGAAAUCCCCCGGCUCAACUGGGGAACUGCACAGGAGACUGCUUGGCUUGAGUUCGGGAGAGGGAAGCGGAAUUCCGGGUGUAGCGGUGAAAUGCGUAGAUAUCCGGAGGAACACCGGUGGCGAAGGCGGCUUCCUGGACCGACACUGACGCUGAGGCGCGAAAGCCAGGGGAGCAAACGGG
rnacentral:rRNA from 1 species